rnacentral:ribozyme from 1 species
AAAAAGGAAAAGGCAAGAAAUAAUGGAGUAUCUGUAUGCUUUUUCUAAUCUUGUGUUUCUUACUUUCUUUGUGUCACUUUUU